GGGUUGUCAUGCCAAUGGCACUGCCCGGUAGCUAAAUGCGGAAGAGAUAAGUGCUGAAAGCAUCUAAGCACGAAACUUGCCCCGAGAUGAGUUCUCCCUGAGACUUAAAGUCUCCUGAAGGAACGUUAAAGACGAUGACGUUGAUAGGUCGGGUGUGUAAGCGCAGCGAUGCGUUGAGCUAACCGAUACUAAUGAACCGUGAGGCUUAACCUU
rnacentral:rRNA from 1 species